AAGCAAAACAGAGUUGACAAAACUUCACACAAGACUCUUUGCUGCUGAAGUAUUUCAUUUGAGCUCCAGUCAUGAUCUUCUUUUGCCUCACAAUUUUGUCUCUUCUCAUAGGAAAUGUUAUGGCAAACACAAUAACACGCCUCUCUGCUGAAAAACAUGCACUGGAAGGAGAAGUGGUUACUAUUUCUUGCAAUUAUGAUGGAAGCAGCAUAUAUAGUUGGCAGUGGUAUAUGCAGUAUCCCAACACUGCACCUGAAUUUCUCCUGCAAACUCUUGAGAAUGUGGCUCCAAAGCAGAUGGGACGUUUUCUUGCUAAAGCUCACAAAGACAAAAAACAGCUGGACCUGGAGAUCUCCAAAACUGAAGUGACAGACUCUGGGAUUUACUACUGUGCACUGGUGCCCACAGUGACAGGAAACACCUCUACACUCUACAAAAACAUCAUGUUCGCUUUCAAUUAGAAAAUAUAAAAUUUGCAUUAUGUUUAAUUUAAAGAUCAACCAAUAAUCAACCACUGUUUAUUCAUUUAUAUAUAAGCAUUUAUACU